ensembl:lncRNA
AUGUGUGACAGCUUCGAUCGAUUCUUUCCCCCUCCCAACCCAACCUGGAGCUGUGCUCGUAUCACGGAAUCAAAGCCCAAAUGCAGCCUGAAAGUCACACGGAAAAAAAGAAACAGAAAAAGCCACCCAAAACCUAAAAACAGAGAAAACAGCCCCAAAAGGAUUUGGAGAAUCCUAAAGUCAUCGGUGGACCCUUUGUUGUCAGGCAGCUCCUCCUGUCCCCCAAAACCAGCCCCCAUUUCCCAGAGCGGUGCUUCCAUCCCCUUCUUUCGCAGGGAACAGCUUUGGAAAUUCAGCCGUUCGUCCACGAAAAUAAAAGAAGUAAAAAAAAGAAGAAGGAGUGCUCUUUUUAGGACUGCGGAGCCAAAAGGGGACGGCCCCAAAAAUCCGCAUCGCGGCGACCUUCGGACUCAGCCGCGGUUGUUGUUGUGUCGUGUUGAGGUUCUGAUCUCUGAACUUCUGCUCUCCGUGCUCCCAAAGCCACCCCAACUCCGCUGCCAUGGAUGAGGAGCGGCUCAGCGACGACGUGCGGCUCUAUAAAGGUACGCGGAGCGCCGCCGGGGGACGCAGCACGAAGGAGAGGGGCAGGAAAGCUUGGAAGUCUCAUCCUGACCCUAAAAUCCUCAUCCUGACCCUAAAAUCCUCAUCCUGACCUUUAAAGUCUCAUCCGGACCCUAAAGUUCUCAUCUUUAUCUAAAAUUCUCAUCCUGGCCCUAAAAUUCUCAUCCUAACCGUGAAAGUUUCAUCCUGACCCCAUAAUUCUCGUCCUGGCCCCAAAAGUCUCAUUCUGACCCUAAAAUUCUCAUCCUGGCCCCAAAAUUCUCAUUCUGGCCCCGAAAUUCUCAUUCUGGCCCCGAAAGUCUCAUCCUGGCCCCAAAAGUCUUGUCCUGGCCCCGAAAGUCUCAUUCUGACCCUAAAAUUCUCAUCCUGGCCCCAAAAUUCUCAUUCUGACCCUGAAAUUCUCAUUCUGACCCCGAAAGUCUCAUCCUGGCCCUAAAAUUCUCAUUCUGACCCUGAAAUUCUCAUUCUGACCCCGAAAGUCUCAUCCUGACCCCGAAAGUCUCAUCCUGGCCCUAAAAUUCUCAUUCUGACCCUGAAAUUCUCAUUCUGAUCCCGAAAGUCUCAUCCUGGCCCUAAAAUUCUGAUCUUGACCUAAAAUUCUCAUCCUGGCCCUGAAAGUCUCAUUCUGACCCUAAAAUCCUCAUCUUUACCUAAAAUUCUCAUCCUAACCCUGAAAGUCUCACUCUGACCCCGUAAUUUUAAUUCUGGCCCCAAAAAUCUCAUUCUGACCCUAAAAUUCUCAUCUUGACCUAGAAUUCUCAUUCUGGCCCUAAAAUUCUUAUCCUGGCCCCGAAAGUCUCAUCCUGGCCCCAAAAUUCUCUUUCUAACCCCGAAAGUCUCACCCUGACCCUAAAAUUCUCAUUGUAACCCCAAAAUUCUUGUUCUAACCCUGAAAUUCUCAUCCUAACCCCAAAACGCUGACCCUGAAAUGUGAAUCCUAAUCCUUAAAGUCUCGUUCUGAUCCUGAAAUUCUCGCCCUAACCUCAAAAUAUUCCCCCUAAUCCGAAAACCCUGACCCUAAAACUUGAAUCCUGACCCUAAAAUGUGAAUCCGACCCUAAAAUGUCAUUCCUCCCCUAAGAUCUUAACCCUAAAAUCCUAAUUCAGACCCAAAAAUACUCAUCUUGACCCAAAAACAUGAAGCCUGACCCCAAAAUUAAACCCCAAAACGCUCAUUCUGACCCCAGAAGUUGAACCCAAAAAUGCUCAUCUUGACCCCAAAAUUCAGACCCAAAGAUGCUCAUCUUGACCUCAAAAUCCUGACCCCAAAAUACUCAUCCUGACCCAAAAACAUGAACCCUGACCCCAAAACCUCUCAUCCUGACCCCAAAAUUAAACCCCAAAACCUCUCAUCCUGACCCCAAAACCCCCCACCCUCAAACCNNNNNNNNNNNNNNNNNNNNUGGAGACCCCAAUGGAGGUGAUUGUAGGGUAAAGUGUGGGGCAGGGGAUGGAGACCCCAAUAAAGUGAGGGGCAGGGGAUGGAGACCCAAUAAAGUGUGGGGCAGAGGGUGGAGACCCAAUAAAGUGUGGGGCAGGGGAUGGAGACCCCAAUGGAGGUGAUUGUAGGGUAAAGUGUGGGGCAGGGGAUGGAGACCCCAAUAAAGUGUGGGGCAGAGGGUGGAGACCCCAAAAAAGUGUGGGGCAGAGGGCAGAGAACCCAAUAAAGUGUGGGGCAGGGGAUGGAGACCCCAAUAAAGUGUGGAGCAGAGGGCGGAGACCCCAAUAAAGUGUGGGGCAGAGGGCGGAGAACCCAAUAAAGUGUGGGGCAGGGGAUGGAGACCCCAAUAAAGUGUGGGGCAGAGGAUGGAGACCCCAAUGGAGGUGAUUGUAGGGUAAAGUGUGGGGCAGGGGAUGGAGACCCCAAUAAAGGUGUGGAGCAGAGGGCGGAGACCCCAAAAAAGUGUGGGGCAGAGGGCGGAGAACCCAAUAAAGUGUGGGGCAGGGG